rnacentral:rRNA from 1 species
CCUACGGGAGGCAGCAGUAGGGAAUAUUGCUCAAUGGGGGAAACCCUGAAGCAGCAACGCCGCGUGGAGGAUGACGGUUUUCGGAUUGUAAACUCCUGUUGUUAGAGAAGAUAAUGACGGUAUCUAACGAAUAAGCACCGGCUAACUCCGUGCCAGCAGCCGCGGUAAUACGGAGGGUGCAAGCGUUACUCGGAAUUACUGGGGGUAAAGAGCGCGUAGGCGGGAUAGCAAGUCAGAUGUGAAAUCCUAUGGCUUAACCAUAGAACUGCAUUUGAAACUGUUAUUCUAGAGUAUGGGAGAGGUAGGUGGAAUUCUGGGUGUAGGGGUAAAAUGCGUAGAGAUUAAGAGGAAUACUCAUUGCGAAGGCGACCUGCUAGAACAUAACUGACGCUGAUGCGCGAAAGCGUGGGGAGCAAACAGGAUUAGAUACCCUUGUAGUC